GCGGAAGUGGCGAAAUUGGUAUACGCGCAGGUCUUAGGAACCUGAGCCUUCGGGCGUGCGGGUUCGAUUCCCGCCUUCCGCACCA
rnacentral:tRNA from 1 species